GACGUAGGGUGCGAGCGUUGUCCGGAAUUAUUGGGCGUAAAGAGCUCGUAGGCGGUCUGUUGCGUCCGCUGUGAAAACUCGGGGCUUAACCCCGAGCCUGCAGUGGAUACGGGCAGACUAGAGGUAGGUAGGGGAGAAUGGAAUUCCCGGUGUAGCGGUGAAAUGCGCAGAUAUCAGGAGGAACACCGGUGGCGAAGGCGGGUCUCUGGGCCGAUACUGACGCUGAGGAGCGAAAGCGUGGGGAGCGAACAGG
rnacentral:rRNA from 1 species